ensembl:lncRNA
AAGAAGAAAUUGAGGCUCCGACAGGAGAUGUGACUUGCUGAAGGUCCAAACCUGCAGCCUAGAGGAACCGUGUUUUGAUCCUCUGAUGUGCUAUGCUCAGGAUGCAUCCUGCCCAUGGUCAUCACCAGGGAUGGCUUGUUUGUUAGCAAGUUGUGCAAAGAGGCCUCCAGGAGCUUUCUAUGGAAGAUAUUUGUGAGCCAGAGAUUUAAUUACAAACGAGGCUUGGAAUCCACAGAGAAAGUUCAUAGAACAAGAGAGUGUUCAACAAUGAAGUUAGAACAAAGGAGCAAGUCAGCUGCCUCCAUUUACCCUCUUCCUGUCACCAUAAAUAAUAAUCAAUAAAUAUCAGGGGAGCUACUGAUUCAUUUGUUUUUAUCAUUUCUUUACAGUUAAUAGAAUGUAAGAAAAACAAUUUUUCUAAACAAUUUAAUUGUGAGCCCCUGAUUUCUAAUUGUAAUACAGAAUUACUGUAGGCUAAUUGAGAUUUACUAGUCACCUACAAAGUCUACUUUGAGAAACCUUAGUUAUUUAUUUCCAAAAGUGUUAGAAAUAUUCUAUCCAGUAACAGGAAACCUUUUAUUUUACACUCUCUCUCCCCUCAAAAAAGUGUAUAUGACCCAUUUUCUAUUUUUCUAUCAAACAAAAUGAAAAAAAGCUUUAUUGAUUCCUGUGGGAAAAUGUAUAUUCUAAUAAUUUUAUAUCUGUUAUAUUUCAGUAUAGAAAACCAUGUUGAAAAAUGCCAGUUAAAGAAUUUGGCACUGCCUUUUUGUCACUAAAAUGUUAAUUUCUGGGAAUAUUGUAGAAAUUGCAAUAAAGAAGCAACUUUCUAAUUUCUAACUUUAUGCUUAAGUUAUAUUGAAGAUAAUAUUUACUGUCAUAACACACAAAUUAGCUUAUGUGUGUAACUAGGUGAGCCAAUGCAUUCUUCAGGCCAAGAGUUUGCUCAUUGCUGAUUUAGGCAAAACCUUUUAUUGCACACCUGGGAAAAUGAAUUCCAAAGAUGUAAAGUGAUUUGCCUGUGGUCACAUUUCUAGUAAAUUAUUUAAUUCUAACACAGGUCAUUCAUUUAGGAGCCUGCAUAUUUAGUGUCUUAUUAUUUUUCUACUGUUUAUACUCUCACGUAGAUCCUUCUCUUAGGUUACACAGAAAGCAAUUUGGGCUAAUACCUUGUCAUUCACUCCUAAAAGCAAAACACCAUUCACAACUUUUCAACUCAUUUUCAGAACUGUAGAUUGUUGGGGUUGCUACCACUGCUUGUAUUGGUUCCAUGAGAAUGUAACCAGGACAUCAGUUCUUUCCUGUUCUCUUAUCUGAACUAACUUAUAGAAUUAAAUUGUACAUCAGCAUUUGUGAACACUGUGGAUUUCAAUGGAGACUGUAUAAAGAACACAGAGAAGGUUUGCACCAUCCACUGAACAGCAUUCAGCUUGGAAUCCCAAGUUCAGACAUCUCUAUUUAUCUCAGUCCUUUUUCUAUUGCCCAACCACAAGGAGUCCUUCUUUCUAUCCUUUGCACCAAUGGCAAGGUGGCCAUUUUCCUUUCCCACAGGUCAGCUCCACCCCAAUUGCUACCUCCAAAAUACCUCCAGAGGAUCAGUGAAAGAAAAGGUUGGCCAGUUCAUAGACCCACCACUGUAGCAAGCAAGGGAGAAGCCCCCUUCUGCACUUGAUCUCUUUUGAACUCUUGCUCUUAUAUACAUAGCUUUCGCAGCAUUUUCCCACAAAUUAUAGAAAUGCUCUAUCAGAGGAGAAAUUCUAUUUUCUACUCAUUAUGGGGAUGAUAGAUGAGCAAAGCAGAUGAUGCCCCUCAGAUGUUGCAGAUGAAAACUUACUGUGCACAGUGGGGACAAGAAUCUUUAAAGCCAAUGACUGAGAUUUUGUGUACUCUUCUGUGCUCAAGGUUGGUUGUUUAAUUAAUACCAACUGGCUCAUUCACCACUAGCUAACACAAGGAAAUACUUAGAGGACCAGUUUUCUGAUAUUAAAUAUUACUUUUGAAACUCAAAUAGUUCUUAUUAUUAAGCUUAGAUCAAAGUUGAAUUUAAUUAGCUUUAAGAAUAGAAUUGUAAAUAGAAAAGGCAUUCAUCCACAAGCAUAUUACACGUCCUUAAAGAUCAGCUCACACAUCAUGUAUCUCUUCAUGACGAUGAAAAAUAACAUGUUUGGGGAAAAAUAUUAGCAUAACACUAUCAAAGGAAUUUGCCUGACAU